AGCAGCCGCGGUAAUUCCAGCUCCAAUAGCGUAUAUUAAAGUUGCUGCAGUUAAAAAGCUCGUAGUUGAAUUUCGGGACCAAUAUGUUGGUCGUGCUUUUGUACGUACUGAUAUAAUCGGUUUCUCCCUUCUGAAGAACCUUGAUGUCAUUAAUUUGGUGUCUUGGGGAAUCAGGACUGUUACUUUGAAAAAAUUAGAGUGUUUAAAGCAGGCUCGCGCUUGAAUACAUUAGCAUGGAAUAAUGAAAUAGGACGUUUGAUUCUAUUUUGUUGGUUUCUAGGAUCGACGUAAUGAUUAAUAGGGAUAGUUGGGGGCAUUAGUAUUCAAUUGUCAGAGGUGAAAUUCUUGGAUUUAUUGAAGACUAACUACUGCGAAAGCAUUUGCCAAGGAUGUUUUCAUUAAUCAAGAACGAAAGUUAGGGGAUCGAAGACGAUCAGAUACCGUCGUAGUCUUAACCAUAAACUAUGCCGACUAGGGAUCGGAUGAUGUUAAUUUUUAAUGACUCAUUCGGCGCCUUAAC
rnacentral:rRNA from 1 species